rnacentral:rRNA from 1 species
CAGUAGCCGCGGUAAUACAGAGGGUGCAAGCGUUAAUCGGAAUUACUGGGCGUAAAGCGCGCGUAGGUGGUUUGUUAAGUUGGAUGUGAAAUCCCCGGGCUCAACCUGGGAACUGCAUCCAAAACUGGCAGGCUAGAGUAGGGCAGAGGGUGGUGGAAUUUCCUGUGUAGCGGUGAAAUGCGUAGAUAUAGGAAGGAACACCAGUGGCGAAGGCGACCACCUGGGCUCAUACUGACACUGAGGUGCGAAAGCGUGGGGAGCAAACAGGAUUAGAUACCCGCGUAGUCCCUGUCUCUUAUAC